AGAGGUAGGCGGAAAUUUCGUGGGUGUAGCGGUGAAAUGUUUAGAUAUCACGAAAGAACUCCGAUUGCGAAGGCAGCUUACUGGAUUGUAACUGACGCUGAUGCUCGAAAGUGUGGGUAUCAAACAGGAUUAGAUACCCUGGUAGUCCACACAGUAAACGAUGAAUACUCGCUGUUGGCGAUAUACAGUCAGCGGCCAAGCGAAAGCAUUAAGUAUUCCACCUGGGGAGUACGCCGGCAACGGUGAAACUCAAAGGAAUUGACGGGGGCCCGCACAAGCGGAGGAACAUGUGGUUUAAUUCGAUGAUACGCGAGGAACCUUACCCGGGCUUAAAUUGCAACUGACGGAAUCGGAAACGGUUCUUUCUUCGGACAGUUGUGAAGGUGCUGCAUGGUUGUCGUCAGCUCGUGCCGUGAGGUGUCGGCUUAAGUGCCAUAACGAGCGCAACCCUUAUCGAUAGUUACUAGCAGGUUAUGCUGAGGACUCUAUCGAGACUGCCGUCGUAAGAUGUGAGGAAGGUGGGGAUGACGUCAAAUCAGCACGGCCCUUACGUCCGGGGCUACACACGUGUUACAAUGGGGGGUACAGAAGGCAGCUACACGGCGACGUGGUGCUAAUCCCGAAAGCCUCUCUCAGUUCGGAUUGGAGUCUGCAACCCGACUCCAUGAAGCUGGAUUCGCUAGUAAUCGCGCAUCAGCCACGGCGCGGUGAAUACGUUCCCGGGCCUUGUACACACCGCCCGUCAAGCCAUGAAAGCCGGGGGUACCUGAAGUACGUAACCGCGAGGAGCGUCCUAGGGUAAAACUGGUG
rnacentral:rRNA from 1 species